ACACAUGCAAGUCGAGGGGCAGCGCGGGAUAGCAAUAUUCUGGCGGCGACCGGCGGAAGGGUGCGUAACGCGUGAGCGACAUGCCCGUUGCCCGGGGACAACCGGUGGAAACGCCGACUAAUCCCCGAUGGGAUACGAUGCUGCAUGGCAUUGUAUUGAAAGUUACGGCGGCGACGGAUUGGCUCGCGUCCGAUUAGCUGGUUGGCGGGGUAACGGCCCACCAAGGCUGCGAUCGGUAGGGGUUCUGAGAGGAAGGCCCCCCACAAUGGGACUGAGACACGGCCCAUACUCCUACGGGAGGCAGCAGUGAGGAAUAUUGGUCAAUGGGCGGAAGCCUGAACCAGCCAUGCCGCGUGCGGGAAGGAGGCCCUAUGGGCUGUGAACCGCUUUUGCCUGGGGGCAAUAAGGGCGUCGCGCACGCCCGAUGAGAGUACCAGGCGAAUAAGCAUCGGCUAACUCCGUGCCAGCAGCCGCGGUAAUACGGGGGAUGCGAGCGUUAUCCGGAUUCAUUGGGUUUAAAGGGUGCGUAGGCUGUGCGUCAAGUCGGGG
rnacentral:rRNA from 1 species